rnacentral:rRNA from 1 species
UACGUAGGGGGCAAGCGUUGUCCGGAUUUAUUGGGCGUAAAGAGCGUGUAGGCGCCAGACAGGUCCGUUGUGAAAACUCGAGGCUCAACCUCGAGAUGUCGAUGGAAACCGUCUGGCUAGAGUCCGGAAGAGGAGUGUGGAAUUCCUGGUGUAGCGGUGAAAUGCGCAGAUAUCAGGAAGAACACCUAUGGCGAAGGCAGCACUCUGGGACGGUACUGACGCUGAGACGCGAAAGCGUGGGGAGCGAACAGG